rnacentral:lncRNA from 12 species
CCCCCCCCCCCCCCCCCCCCCCCCCCCCCCCCCCCCCCCCCCCCCCCCCCCCCCCCAGAGCCCACAGGAGCCCCUGCGAGAGGCGGCCGUCAUGUUCAUGGGUGAGCCCGGGCUCCCUCCCCGCCCCGCCGCAGCUCGGCCCCAGCCCCGCCUGCUGCCCCGGCAGCUUCUGCCAUCCGGGCCCGGCGCCGCGGAGCCCCGGCUGCCCUCGGGGCUGCUGCCGCCCUCCCGCGGCCGUGCCCUUGGGCGGCAGCGAGCGGCACGGGCCCGGGCUGAGCCCUGCCGGGGCACGAGGCCCUGUGGCCGCAGGGCUGGCAGCGCCGCGGGCAGGGAGCUGCGCCGCUCGGGCCGUGACAGGCUCUGCGUGUUCCCAGGGAUGGCCGGGCGGCACCUCCGGGGGCACAAGCGAGAGCUCCAGCGCGUCUGCCAGGCCCUUGAAGACAAGGCGGAGGACAUCAGCCCUGCCAUCAGAAGCCAGGCUCUCGAAACAGCCUUUCUGCUGCGGGCCGUAGAGAGAGCUUCGGGCUCCGUCUUGGGGAAGCUGCUGCAUCACUUCCUCGGGGUGUGCAGGAAACAGCCGUGUCUGUGGGGCCGUGUCCGGCUCUGCUGCUGGAGCUCUGAGGAGAGCUGAGUGGAGAGGCUCUCUGCCAGCUGGGGCCACCUGAGGCAGGGGGGCUUUUUCUUUUCUAUAAGAUUGUUUUGCCCUUCUUUUUCGUUCUCCUUUCAUGUGUAAAUAUAGAAAGUGUUCUCAUACCCUGACUCCCACAAGCUUUCUUUUGGUGCUCAGAGUCCGCAGGGGACAGGGGAAGAGGGGAAAACGGGUCGUCGCGCUGAGCAAGCUGCCCAGGCGUGCAGUGGGGAAGGGAAGGUGGCCAGAAGCCCCUUGGCCUUUGGUGGUUCUGCUGAGCCUUAACGCCGCCGGCCGAGCGGCUGGGCAGGGGCCGGAGCUGC